CCUGGCUCCUAUGAACGCUAGCGACAGGCUUAACACAUGCAAGUCGAGGGGCAGCACAGGUAGCAAUACCGGGUGGCGACCGGCGCACGGGUGAGUAACGCGUAUGCAACUUGCCUAUCAGAGGGGGAUAACCCGGCGAAAGUCGGACUAAUACCGCAUGAAGCAGGGGCCCCGCAUGGGGAUAUUUGCUAAAGAUUCAUCGCUGAUAGAUAGGCAUGCGUUCCAUUAGGCAGUUGGCGGGGUAACGGCCCACCAAACCGACGAUGGAUAGGGGUUCUGAGAGGAAGGUCCCCCACAUUGGUACUGAGACACGGACCAAACUCCUACGGGAGGCAGCAGUGAGGAAUAUUGGUCAAUGGCCGAGAGGCUGAACCAGCCAAGUCGCGUGAGGGAUGAAGGUUCUAUGGAUCGUAAACCUCUUUUAUAAGGGAAUAAAGUGCGGGACGUGUCCCGUUUUGUAUGUACCUUAUGAAUAAGGAUCGGCUAACUCCGUGCCAGCAGCCGCGGUAAUACGGAGGAUCCGAGCGUUAUCCGGAUUUAUUGGGUUUAAAGGGUGCGUAGGCGGCCUUUUAAGUCAGCGGUGAAAGUCUGUGGCUCAACCAUAGAAUUGCCGUUGAAACUGGGGGGCUUGAGUAUGUUUGAGGCAGGCGGAAUGCGUGGUGUAGCGGUGAAAUGCAUAGAUAUCACGCAGAACCCCGAUUGCGAAGGCAGCCUGCCAAGCCAUGACUGACGCUGAUGCACGAAAGCGUGGGGAUCAAACAGGAUUAGAUACCCUGGUAGUCCACGCAGUAAACGAUGAUCACUAGCUGUUUGCGAUACACUGUAAGCGGCACAGCGAAAGCGUUAAGUGAUCCACCUGGGGAGUACGCCGGCAACGGUGAAACUCAAAGGAAUUGACGGGGGCCCGCACAAGCGGAGGAACAUGUGGUUUAAUUCGAUGAUACGCGAGGAACCUUACCCGGGUUUGAACGCAUUCGGACCGAGGUGGAAACACCUUUUCUAGCAAUAGCCGUUUGCGAGGUGCUGCAUGGUUGUCGUCAGCUCGUGCCGUGAGGUGUCGGCUUAAGUGCCAUAACGAGCGCAACCCUUGCCACUAGUUACUAACAGGUGAUGCUGAGGACUCUGGUGGGACUGCCAGCGUAAGCUGCGAGGAAGGCGGGGAUGACGUCAAAUCAGCACGGCCCUUACACCCGGGGCGACACACGUGUUACAAUGGCGUGGACAAAGGGAGGCCACCUGGCGACAGGGAGCGAAUCCCCAAACCACGUCUCAGUUCGGAUCGGAGUCUGCAACCCGACUCCGUGAAGCUGGAUUCGCUAGUAAUCGCGCAUCAGCCAUGGCGCGGUGAAUACGUUCCCGGGCCUUGUACACACCGCCCG
rnacentral:rRNA from 1 species